rnacentral:lncRNA from 1 species
AAAGUAAGGAUGUUUUUAGUUCUAGCAUGUAUUUUGACAAUCAAAGCCACUCAUUCCCUAGUUACUUACCCACAUAUAAAUCCUACAAAAAAUUAGCCAAAAUAAAAAACGUUUAACCAUUUGAUUAGCACAAUAUUCGUUUUAAUUUUAUUUAAUGGCCUACAAUUGUUUACAUCAAUUUGAAUGACCAAAUGAUUAUGGAAUUAGUUGAAAUUUUAUAGACAUAUUUCUUGCAUAUGAAUAUAGAGGAUCAACAGUUGAGAUCGUUAAAAGAAGUCAUCUACUAAUGUAAAAUAGUAAAAAUCCUCAAAUUCUUAAAGUAAGGAGGUCCUCUUUAGAUCCUCAAAUUCACAAACUAAUUCCAUAAUCAUUUGGUCAUUCAAAUUGAUGUAAACAAUUGUAGGCCAUUAGAUAAAAUUAAAACGAAUAUUGUGCUAAUCAAAUAGUUAAACGUUUUUCAUUUUGGCUAAUUUUUUGUAGGAUUCAUAUGUGGGUAAGUAACU